rnacentral:rRNA from 1 species
AACUGGUUGAUCCUGCCAGUAAUGAUAUGCUUGUCUCAAAGAUUAAGCCAUGCAAAUAUAAGAUCACGCUCAUGUACAGCGUAUCGGUGGACGGCUCUGUAAUACAGACAUGAUUCCUUAGAUCUUACAUCCCUUACUUGGAUAACUGUAGUAAUUCUAGAGCUAAUACAUGCCAAUUUAUACUUUGAUCUUUUAAUGGUCGGAGUGGAUUUAUUAGUACAAAACCAACCUGUUUUUUUACAGUAGGUUUGAUGACUCUGGAUAACUCUACCUGAUCGCAUGGCCUUGUGCUAGCGACGUAUCUUUCAAGUGUCUGCCCUAUCAACUUUCGAUGGUGGGUUAUAUGCCUACCAUGGUUAUGACGGGUGACGGGGAAUCAGGGUUCGAUUCCGGAGAGGGAGCCUUAGAAAUGGCUGCUACAUCUAAGGAAGGCAGCAGGCGCGCAACUUACCCACUGUUACUGUCAGCGAGGUAGUGACGAUAAAUAACAAUACAGAACUCUUAUGAGGCUCUGUAAUUGGAUUGAGUACAAUUUAAAUCCUUUAACAAGGACAAUUGGAGGGCAAGUCUGGUGCCAGCAGCCGCGGUAAUUCCAGCUCCAAUAGCGUAUAUUAAAAUUGUUGCAGUUAAAAAGCUCGUAGUUGGAUCUCAGGUUGUGAAUGCACGGUGCUCUUUUUUUAGCGCUACUGUGUAUUCCACCUUACUAGUCGUUAGCUAUUGCUGGUGCUCUUUAUUGAGUUGCUGGUGAUGCACGGCGUGUUUACUUUGAAAAAAUUAGAGUGCUUAAGGCAGGCUUUUAUGCUUGUAUAAUGUUGCAUGGAAUAAUGGAAUAGGGCUCUGCCACUAUUUUGUUGGUUUUCGGUAAUAUAGCAGAGCAAUGAUUAAAAGGAGUAGAACGGGGGCUGAAGUAUGGUCGCGUUAGAGGUGAAAUUCUUGGAUCGUGGCCAGACUAACUACUGCGAAAGCAUCUGCCAAGGAUGCCUUCAUUAAUCAAGAACGAAAGUCAGAGGUUCGAAGACGAUCAGAUACCGUCCUAGUUCUGACUAUAAACUAUGCCAACUGACCAUCAGAACGAAUAUUUACUGUCGUUCUGGCAGUCCCAGGGAAACCUUAAGUAAGGUUCUGGGGGGAAUAUGGUCGCAAGUCUGAAACUUAAAGGAAUUGACGGAAGGGCACCACCAGGAGUGGAGCCUGCGGCUUAAUUUGACUCAACACGGGAAAACUCACCCGGCCCGGACACUAUUGUGAUUGACAGAUUGAUAGUUCUUUCAUGAUUUGGUGGAUGGUGGUGCAUGGCCGUUCUUAGUUGGUGGAGUGAUUUGUCUGGUUAAUUCCGAUAACGAACGAGACUCUAGCCUGCUAAAUAGUACACUCAUACCUUGGUUUUUUCUUAUGGUAGUGAGUGAAUAAUACUUCUUAGAGGGAUUGGUGGCUUCUAGUCACAUGAAAUUGAGCAAUAACAGGUCUGUGAUGCCCUUAGAUGUCCGGGGCCGCACGCGCGCUACAAUGAUAGUGGCAGAGAGUUUCCUUGGCCGAAAGGUCUGGGUAAUCUUGUAAUCACUAUCUCGUCAGGGAUCGGGGUUUGUAAUUAUCCCCCGUGAACGAGGAAUUCCCAGUAAGCGCAAGUCAUCAACUUGCGUUGAUUACGUCCCUGCCCUUUGUACACACCGCCCGUCGCUACAACCGAUGGACGUCUUAGUGAGGUUAUCGGAUUGGAUGUAUGGGAGUGCUUUGUCUCUCUUAAUGCAUUCGAGAAGAUAAUCAAACUUGGUCGUUUAGAGGAUGUAAAAGUCGUAACAAGGUUUCUGUAGGUGAACCUGCAGAUGGAU